GAGGGCUUUUUCGUCAUUUCCUGUCCAGGCCGCGUGCGUGGUGGACGGUGGUUGGCUCCGUGCGGCUAUGUCGUGGGGGAGGGCGGCUGGCUCGCUUCUCGUUCGCCCCCUUCGUUCCCUUCUCUCUGUCUCUCCUCCCCCCUUCCCCUCAAUCCGAAUCUUCCCCCGGGACCCAAUCCAUGGCGCCGCAGCGCUCGCUGCCCUCGGCCUCCUCACGCCGCCGCCGCUCAUCCUCCUCGACUUCCCCCGCAUGCGUUCUCCUCUUCAUCUCCUCUGCGCCACGCCGGCUUCUGAUCCCGCGCCUCCAACCCCUGAUCCAUCGACGCUGCCGGAGUGCCCUUCGGCGGAGAGAAGGCCCAGGGCGACACCGGCCCCCAAUCCCACGCGUCGAGCCCCUGCUUCGUGCAUGGUGCUGGAGCACCCUUCAGCGCCGAGGAGGCGCAGCGCGACAAGGCCACCGCCGGCGUCGGUGCUCCCUGGCGCGACACGACCUCCGCCAGCGUCAGUUCUCCAAGCACAUCCACUCCGACGAUGCCCAGGUCCUCUGUAGUUGUUGUUUGUUCCGUUUGUCGAAGCUUCGGCCAGCCUGCUGCCCGUUGCCGUGUCGAGAUGUUGCAAGGUUAAAAUGGCAUGGACGAGUACUCAUUUAUUCAUGGAGCUAGCGCAGAGCAUCCUUUUUCGAUAGAGGGAUUUGGUCAUCAAUCCUUGGCCUUGCUCCUGAUUAUGUAUGGGAAGUGGGAGUGCUAAUUAGGCAUUGGAUGUAUACUUUGCCUAUGAAGCUUAGUGGAACUGCUCAAAUUUACCUCAAAUAUAGUUACAAGGAGACAUGUUCAAUUUUUUUCGAAGGAUAAACUCUUCAUGCCCCAACUACAACAAGAGGAGAUAGCUCAAGGUAAAUAAAAACUCAAAAGAUUCAGCUUCUAGGUGUGUUCCACCUGGGUGAUACUAAUUCAGGUAGAAUUCCUCUAGGUGUAUUUUGUAUGUUUUGGUGUUUUGGAAUAGUAGUAUCUAGCACCGUGAUAAUACUGCAUACUGAUUAUACCUCCUUUGAUACU